CCUGCGGCCGAUUAGGUAGUGCCUUAGGUAAUGGCUAACCAAGCCUUUGCUCGGUACGGGUAGUGAGAGCAAGAGGCCGGAGAUGGAACCUGAGACAAGGUUCCAGACCCUACGGCGAGCGCA
rnacentral:rRNA from 1 species